rnacentral:rRNA from 1 species
CUACGGGGUGCAGCAGGCGAGAAAACUUUGCAAUGUGCGAAAGCACGACAAGGUUAAUCCGAGUGGUUUCUGCUAAAGGAACCUUUUGACAGUCCUAGAAACACUGUUGAAUAAGGGGUGGGCAAGUUCUGGUGUCAGCCGCCGCGGUAAAACCAGCACCUCAAGUGGUCAGGAUGAUUAUUGGGCCUAAAGCAUCCGUAGCCGGCUCUGUAAGUUUUCGGUUAAAUCUGUACGCUCAACGUACAGGCUGCCGGGAAUACUGCAGAGCUAGGGAGUGGGAGAGGUAGACGGUACUCGGUAGGAAGGGGUAAAGUCCCUUGAUCUAUUGAUGACCACCUGUGGCGAAGGCGGUCUACCAGAGCACGUCCGACGGUGAGGGAUGAAAGCUGGGGGAGCAAACCGGAUUAGAUACCCUGGUAGUC